rnacentral:tRNA from 1 species
AGAGAGGUGUCCGAGUGGUUGAAGGAGCACGCUUGGAAAGCGUGUAAACGGGUGACUGUUUCGAGGGUUCGAAUCCCUUCCUCUCUA